GUGAUUGGUAAGUUUUGCCUCUUUUAACUGUCCAUUUCAUUAAAUUUACAUCACAUUGUACAUUUUUAUUUAUGGAAUAAAGUGAAAAAGAAUCAUGAUAACUGGAUCAGUAGAUUUUAAAUAUUAGAAAAUAUUAAAUUUUGUUCCCAGUGCCAUAUAAUUCCCAAUGAUCUCUUAUUUUUGUACCAUCGGAUAAAAACAGGAUUUAUAAAGUUUCUCAUGCUAUGGUGGUAGUCAUAACAGAUCCAAUCUUCGAAUGUUAAGCUGUACAUGACAUGUCACUUUCCCUAUCUGUCUGGGUGAUGCCUUUUUCAUUUCUAUCAAUAAUUUUACAAAUUAAUUCUCAAUCUGAUUAAGCAAGGAAAUUCGUCAUUCACAAUUUCUUAGUGGAAUGAAGAUGUCUAAUUGUCUAAGAUUCCAACAAUAGUUGACAAAAGGGGCUUGUGCCCAAUACAAACUGCAGGAAACAUGUAAACAAGCAAGCACACGUUGAUGUGUAUUUUUCCAU
rnacentral:misc_RNA from 1 species